rnacentral:rRNA from 1 species
UUGGAGGGCAAGUCUGGUGCCAGCAGCCGCGGUAAUUCCAGCUCCAAUAGCGUAUAUUUAAGUUGUUGCAGUUAAAAAGCUCGUAGUUGGACCUUGGGCCUGGCUGGCCGGUCCGCCUCACCGCGUGUACUGGUCCGGCCGGGCCUUUCCCUCUGUGGAACCCCAUGCCCUUCACUGGGUGUGGCGGGGAAACAGGACUUUUACUUUGAAAAAAUUAGAGUGCUCCAGGCAGGCCUAUGCUCGAAUACAUUAGCAUGGAAUAAUAGAAUAGGACGUGUGGUUCUAUUUUGUUGGUUUCUAGGACCGCCGUAAUGAUUAAUAGGGACAGUCGGGGGCAUCAGUAUUCAAUUGUCAGAGGUGAAAUUCUUGGAUUUAUUGAAGACUAACUACUGCGAAAGCAUUUGCCAAGGAUGUUUUCAUUAAUCAGGAACGAAAGUUAGGGGAUCGAAGACGAUCAGAUACCGUCGUAGUCUUAACCAUAAACUAUGCCGACUAGGGAUCGGAACGAUUACCAUU